rnacentral:rRNA from 1 species
CCAGAGAACUUUCCAGAGAUGGAUUGGUGCCUUCGGGAACUCUGAGACAGGUGCUGCAUGGCUGUCGUCAGCUCGUGUUGUGAAAUGUUGGGUUAAGUCCCGCAACGAGCGCAACCCUUAUCCUUUGUUGCCAGCGGUUAGGCCGGGAACUCAAAGGAGACUGCCAGUGAUAAACUGGAGGAAGGUGGGGAUGACGUCAAGUCAUCAUGGCCCUUACGAGUAGGGCUACACACGUGCUACAAUGGCGCAUACAAAGAGAAGCGACCUCGCGAGAGCAAGCGGACCUCAUAAAGUGCGUCGUAGUCCGGAUUGGAGUCUGCAACUCGACUCCAUGAAGCCGGAAUCGCUAGUAAUCGUGGAUCAGAAUGCCACGGUGAAUACGUUCCCGGGCCUUGUACACACCGCCCGUCAUACCAUGGGAGUGGGUUGCAAAAGAAGUAGGUAGCUUAACCUUCGGGAGGGCGCUUACCACUUUGUGAUUCAUGACUGGGGUGAAGUCGUAACAAGGUAAGCGUAGUGCU